UUGUUAUUGUUAUGUAAUGGAUUUGGAUCUAUUGAGCAGCAGAUGUUGUCGAAAUCUGCUAUGAAUAUUAUUUGAUUAUUUAGUUUGGUAGGAAUAUAGCAGCUGAUUGCGCAGUUUAUUCCUGGCCGUUUUGUGCCAAUGACCGGGGCUGUACCGUCUGUUGCACGACGUCGUAACGUCUCGUGAUGAGAGUUGGGAUUUGAACUUGAAGGUCCGGAAUGUUCUGCCUGCAAGGGCGACACGUGUUGGUCCUUGGUCGGGGGGAGGAUUUUUGCCUGUGUGUCUCAGUGUCUCACGCAUCCCUAGUUAGGCCAAUCAAUAGAGCGCACACACUGUUUAUAGUAGACUAGGCUAUAUAGUUGGCCCGAAAUGAAAAUCGAAUUAUUCGCUCUGCAUUGAGUAUAUGCUAAUUUGAUUCGAGACAACUUGACAAAUUGAUUGAAAUGUACAUUUUACAAUUCAGCUGUAGUAUAAUACUAGGUAAUUGCUCAAUAAAAUUACAGCCGAGUUAGAAUUUGAUUGGUGUUGCUUUCAUCGAAUAUUUCCCUCAGAUCAGUUUUGUGAUCGAGACCUUUAUCGCCGUUUUACUGAUACUGGUAGUCAUCAUGUUGAAAAGAGACUGGUUGAAACAACGAAACAUGGAUUUAAACACAAUUUCAACAGAUUAACUUGGCUACAGCACAUUCCCUGCCUUAUUACGACCAAGGAAAUCUUUCAGCUGCAGCAUGUCAGCAUUUAUUAGCACUUGCUACACAUUGUCGUUUGUUUCGCUUCAGUAAUUGUAAAUUAAAAAAAAAAUGUCUUUCAUAA